GAAAUAGAGAGAAGAUAUUGCUGGAAGUGGCAGCAGAGGAGAGAAACCUGCAUAGAUCACAUGACCUCAUCAAUUAAGAUGGAGGACUGGAGUCAUGUGACUGAGAGGAUACUAAACCUUACCCUGGAGAUCAUCUACCUGCUGACUGGAGAGAGAUUUCCUCUUGUGAAGUCAGGUGAUCA